rnacentral:rRNA from 1 species
AACGAACGCUGGCGGCAUGCCUAACACAUGCAAGUCGAACGAGAUCUUCGGGUCUAGUGGCGCACGGGUGCGUAACGCGUGGGAAUCUGCCCUUUGGUUCGGAAUAACAGUUGGAAACGACUGCUAAUACCGGAUGAUGACGAAAGUCCAAAGAUUUAUCGCCAGAGGAUGAGCCCGCGUAGGAUUAGCUAGUUGGUGUGGUAAAGGCGCACCAAGGCGACGAGCCUUAGCUGGUCUGAGAGGAUGAUCAGCCACACUGGGACUGAGACACGGCCCAGACUCCUACGGGUGGCAGCAGUGGGGAAUAUUGGACAAUGGGCGAAAGCCUGAUCCAGCAAUGCCGCGUGAGUGAUGAAGGCCUUAGAGUUGUAAAGCUCUUUUACCCGGGAUGAUAAUGACAGUACCGGGAGAAUAAGCUCCGGCUAACUCCGUGCCAGCCGCCGCGGUAA